GGGCCAGUAGCUCAGUUGGUAAGAGCAAUCCGCUCAUAACGGAUUGGUCGCUGGUUCAAGUCCGGCCUGGCCUACCA
rnacentral:tRNA from 1 species